UGGAGUCAGUGGCUGCUUUGGGAAGGAGAAAGAGUCAGUGCUCUGAGGAGAUGCCCAUGAGAAAAUGCUCAGAAGCUCUGGUGACAGCCCCAAGUGUUUGUCCCCUUCUCUGACCCCAUUGACCAGCAGGAGGAUGCAGCAUGUCUGGAGCAACACAACAAAUUAGGUGCCUUGAGCUGUUGGGAUUUUUCUGCAGACCUUCAUUAAACUCAGGGCUUCAUUUUACCCACAUAGAGAUAAGUGCAGCAUACCAGCUCCCAUAUGGGCAGGGCUGAGAACAGCUUUCUGCUUCAUGGCUGACACCAUUAAGUGCUAAAAACUCUUCCCACAUUUGUUUAUUCACAGCAUCACAAGAUGCUGUGUCCUGUGAAUGAGCCUGUUUGGGCUUCAGUCCCCUCCUUGGAAACAGGACUUGGAAACAGGAGAGAGCUGGAGGAACUGGAAAUAAAUUAAACACACGCAAGGUGUCCUCAUAUGAGCCAGCAGCUUCCCAUGUCUCAGCUUUGACUGAGCACAUCAGGGCCAAAGCACAGUGAGUGCAUUCCUGUGCUCUGACCCUCCAGUCACAGCUCUCUGAGCCUUCAAGGAACAGCAGGUUCUGGAAGAAACACUGCAGAAAAUGCCAAUACUGAAAUCCUACAAAAAUUCCAGGCAGUAACAGAACCAGAGGAGAUCCAAGUGGAUCAUGAACCCACAGGUAUCUUGGGCAAGCUGGAGCUGCUCUCUCAGGUUUGUGUCAUAACCACCUCUGAGUUUAUUUCAUUUGCUCUGCUCAGAAUUGAAGCUGCACCAAAACUUCCACACAUAAUCCCAUGUGAGAUCAGGGCUCAUGUCACUGAUGUUAGUCAGUAACAGGAAACUGAACAAUGGAGUGUGGAUUAAAAAUCAACCAUGCAAACCAUUAUGUUUCAGCACUCUUGAAGUGCUAGCAACUGCUGCUUUUCCUUUUGCAUGAAAAAUGUUUCUCUGAACUGCAACAGUUGAGGCAAUCAACAGCUCCAGCACUAAAAAUCAGGCAGCUAAACCAGAAAAUUGGGUGCAAUUUGUAAUCUGCACAAUGUGCAGAGUCUUCUGCCAGAAUACAUUUUGUGGAGAACAUUUAUUUGGGUCAUAUCCCCCAACCUGGGAUUCCUCAGGAAGACUCAGCAGGUUUUAUCCAACAUAAAAAAACCCCACAUUUCUGCAUUCAGGCAGAGAGGCAUCUGCAAGGCCCUGUCAAUCUUCCCUUACAAUGAAGUGUUGAAAGGCAAAAGACAGACUGUGGAGUGUUUCAGGAGAGAGACACGGAGACAUCUACACCCACAACGCUGACAGAGCCCUCUGCACACCUAAAAGGGGUUGUUCCUGCUGGGAAAAAGGGCUUUUAUCCAGUAACAGGGUUUCUAAUCAGUUUUCUGUCCCCUCUGUCGUGUUGUAUUGACUCUUUUCCUGCCUGUGGCUCCCACCUGCACACUGCACCCUGCCAGCCUGUGAGCAGCUCCAAAGUGGCCACAACAGCAGGAUUUGCACAGCAGAGUGAAAAUAAUGAGAAACACAGCCCCCCAUUCUGCCAUUAGAGUCCUGGCAAGCCCUUUUAUUGCCCGUGGUGCAGAAGACAAAGAGCACAGGUUGGAGUCAUCUCUCAAGAAAUGGGGGCGGUGUAUUUGAGGAAAGAAUCAAGCCAGUCUGUGUUUCCAAGGCAAGGCAGCUGAUUGCUGGGUGGAUUCCCCGUUGUGCUGUUCUGUUCAGGGAGAGGGAGAUACAGCAGCAGGACCCAGGUCUGCUG